rnacentral:rRNA from 1 species
GUGCCAGCCGCCGCGGUAAUACCGGCAGCCCGAGUGAUGGCCGAUCUUAUUGGGCCUAAAGCGUCCGUAGCUGGCUGCGCAAGUCCGUCGGGAAAUCCACUCGCUCAACGUGUGGGCGUCCAGCGGAAACUGUCCGGCUUGGGGCCGGAAGACCCGAGGGGUACGUCCAGGGUAGGAGUGAAAUCCUGUAAUCCUGGACGGACCGCCGGUGGCGAAAGCGCCUCGGGAAGACGGACCCGACAGUGAGGGACGAAAGCUGGGAUCUCGAACCGGAUUAGAAACCCCAGUAGUCC